AGGAAGAUUUAGAGAGUCCAUUCCUCAGGCUGCUUCAUCCUCAAAUUCCAAAUGAUUCUUCAUCAAAACAGGGCACCCAGAUCUCCAGACACAGGACCCCAUCUCUCCUGUUUGUGUCUGCUUUCCUGGGUUGAAAACACCUCGUGAAUGGUAAAUCCCGAAGCUUUACCAUUUCAACCUUAGCUCUGCACCCAAUCAGAAAGGAUGUCCGCUGCUGUGGUCUUACCUCUCAUCCCACAUGCCCUG
rnacentral:lncRNA from 1 species